CAUCUCUAAACACAUCCAGGGGCCCAGGCUAUCUUGUAUCAUCUCUAAACAGAUCUGGGGGCCAGGCUAUCUUGUAUCAUCUCUAAACAGAUCUGGGGGCCCAGGCUAUACUUGGAUCAUCUCUAAACAGAAUGCUGGGGGCCCAGGCUAUCUUGUAUCAUCUCUAAAAAGAUCCAGGGGCCCAGGCUAUCUCUUGUAUCAUCUGUAAACAGAUCCAGGGGGCCCAGGCUAUCCUUUAUCAUCUGUAACAGAUCCAGAGGGCCCAUGCUAUCUUGUAUCAUCUCGAAAGAUCCAGGGGGCCAGGCUAUCUUAUACUCUCUCAACAGAUCCAGGGGCCCAGGCUAUCUUCUAUCAUCUCUAAACUCCAAGCACAAAUUGUAA
rnacentral:lncRNA from 1 species